rnacentral:rRNA from 1 species
GAUGAACGCUGGCGGCGUGCCUAAUACAUGCAAGUCGAGCGAACAGACGAGGAGCUUGCUCCUCUGACGUUAGCGGCGGACGGGUGAGUAACACGUGGAUAACCUACCUAUAAGACUGGGAUAACUUCGGGAAACCGGAGCUAAUACCGGAUAAUAUAUUGAACCGCAUGGUUCAAUAGUGAAAGACGGUUUUGCUGUCACUUAUAGAUGGAUCCGCGCCGCAUUAGCUAGUUGGUAAGGUAACGGCUUACCAAGGCGACGAUGCGUAGCCGACCUGAGAGGGUGAUCGGCCACACUGGAACUGAGACACGGUCCAGACUCCUACGGGAGGCAGCAGUAGGGAAUCUUCCGCAAAGGGCGAAAGCUUGACGGAGCAACGCCGCGUGAGUGAUGAAGGUCUUCGGAUCGUAAAACUCUGUUAUUAGGGAAGAACAAAUGUGUAAGUAACUAUGCACGUCUUGACGGUACCUAAUCAGAAAGCCACGGCUAACUACGUG